UGAACGCUGGCGGCGUGCCUAAUACAUGCAAGUCGAGCGAACAGACGAGGAGCUUGCUCCUCUGACGUUAGCGGCGGACGGGUGAGUAACACGUGGAUAACCUACCUAUAAGACUGGGAUAACUUCGGGAAACCGGAGCUAAUACCGGAUAAUAUAUUGAACCGCAUGGUUCAAUAGUGAAAGACGGUUUUGCUGUCACUUAUAGAUGGAUCCGCGCCGCAUUAGCUAGUUGGUAAGGUAACGGCUUACCAAGGCGACGAUGCGUAGCCGACCUGAGAGGGUGAUCGGCCACACUGGAACUGAGACACGGUCCAGACUCCUACGGGAGGCAGCAGUAGGGAAUCUUCCGCAAUGGGCGAAAGCCUGACGGAGCAACGCCGCGUGAGUGAUGAAGGUCUUCGGAUCGUAAAACUCUGUUAUUAGGGAAGAACAAAUGUGUAAGUAACUAUGCACGUCUUGGCGGUACCUAAUCAGAAAGCCACGGCUAACUACGUG
rnacentral:rRNA from 1 species